rnacentral:rRNA from 1 species
ACUCCUACGGGAGGCAGCAGUGGGGAAUCUUGGACAAUGGGCGCAAGCCUGAUCCAGCCAUGCCGCGUGAGUGAUGAAGGCCCUAGGGUCGUAAAGCUCUUUCGCCAGGGAUGAUAAUGACAGUACCUGGUAAAGAAACCCCGGCUAACUCCGUGCCAGCAGCCGCGGUAAUACGGAGGGGGUUAGCGUUGUUCGGAAUUACUGGGGCGUAAAGCGCGCGUAGGCGGACUGGAAAGUUGGGGGUGAAAUCCCGGGGGCUCAACCUCGGAACUGCCUCCAAAACUCCCAGUCUUGAGUUCGAGAGAGGUGAGUGGAAUUCCGAGUGUAGAGGUGAAAUUCGUAGAUAUUCGAAGGAACACCAGUGGCGAAGGCGGCUCACUGGCUCGAUACUGACGCUGAGGUGCGAAAGUGUGGGGAGCAAACAGGAUUAGAUACCCUGGUAGGAUAGCG